CCCCGUAUAGCUCAAUGGAAAGAGCGGCCGACUUCUAAUCGGUAGGUUGUAGGUUCGAGUCCUACUGCGGGGA
rnacentral:tRNA from 1 species